rnacentral:lncRNA from 1 species
UUUUCUGCAAUCUGGGUACCUCUUUCUCGGAUCUAGUUUAUCUGCUGUUCUUCCUUGUACUAUCCUUGUUCUAUCUUUUUAAAAUUAUAUAAUUUUAAUGAUUUUUAAAGUUAAAUAUUAUUAUUAAAUAUUGUUUUUUUUCAUUACAGGCACAGUAAAAAAAUCAAAUUCCUGCUGGUUGCGUCACGUUAGCGUGGUCCCACGCGCUUGGAGAGUGGGGGAGCAUUAUAGUUGUUUUUUUGUUUAUGGCUUACGGAGUAAAGCGCAUGUCGUUUAUAAGGCAAGAAGUCAAGAACGACAGGUGAAUUGAUUCUCUGUUGUCUAUUGCUUUGGCGUUUUGUCUCUCCAGCUUUUUUAACUUUUCCAUUAGAAUCCCAAUACGUGUUUCUAUCAUUCUAUGUUUAUCAUAAAACUAGAGUAAUUCCUGUGUCCAAUAUGGGAGAUUGUCACUAUAACAGAUUUACGAAGAUGAAAAUCUGAAAUUUAAAAAACAAGAUUAUCAAUUAACAACCAUGUUAUUCUUAAUCAUAAUAACUACGAAUCUCGUAAAUCUUGUUUGAUGAUUGAUAUCAAAUUUUGCAACUGUUCUGUAACGUCGUCUCUGUUAAUGUUGAAAAACUUUAUCCAGUCUUUCAUUGCUAUACCAAAAAGUUGGUCUAUUUGUUAAUCAAAAGUUUCAAUGGAAAUUGGUAUCAAUCCGUUGGUGCAAGAGUCAUGGUUGAAAGAAUUAGAAAACAAGAAACAUAUAUUAUUGUCUAUACAUAACUCUAUUAGAUGUUUUGCGGAGGAAGUAUAUAACUAUUGUUUUUGGGCAUUGAACUUUAAUUUCCCUCGUGUUACAAUGGUAGAUGUAAUCCAUUUCUGUUUUUGUAAAGUUACCAAAGCAAGUUCAGAGUACUCCAUUUCUGAUUUUGUAGAGUGGAAAAAAUGUUCAUGUGAUUGAACAUUAAAGAAUGUAACAACAGGAUCUCUUCAGUCCAGCAACCAUGCCCAGAAGAAUGUCGGCAAGAUUGAAC